AGUAAAGUCGUAACAAGGUUUCCGUAGGUGAACCUGCGAAGGAUCAUUA
rnacentral:rRNA from 1 species